GAAGAUAUAAUCUUAUGAUGAAAAAGGUCAAAUAAUUUUUAUUAUUAAUCAAUUCAUAUAUAUUUAUAAUUAGCACAAUCGUUAAUCGAUUGGCUUUAGGACACAAUUUCCAACAACUCCUACUUGAAGUAAAGCCAAUCAGUAUAGUAUCAUAUACCUAUCUUCGAUUUAUCAUCUUAAAACUCCUAGAUAUUGAGAUUUUAGUAAAUAGAUUGGUCAGAUUCUUCUUUCCGUCGAUCUUAUAAAAUUCGACGUCACCUUGAUCCGUAAUUUUUCGAAUA
rnacentral:lncRNA from 1 species